GGGUUGUGAGGUUAAGCGACUAAGCGUACACGGUGGAUGCCCUGGCAGUCAGAGGCGAUGAAGGACGUGCUAAUCUGCGAUAAGCGUCGGUGAGGUGAUAUGAACCGUUAUAACCGGCGAUUUCCGAAUGGGGAAACCCAGUGUGUUUCGACACACUAUCAUUAACUGAAUCCAUAGGUUAAUGAGGCGAACCGGGGGAACUGAAACAUCUAAGUACCCCGAGGAAAAGAAAUCAACCGAGAUUCCCCCAGUAGCGGCGAGCGAACGGGGAGGAGCCCAGAGCCUGAAUCAGUGUGUGUGUUAGUGGAAGCGUCUGGAAAGGCGCGCGAUACAGGGUGACAGCCCCGUACACAAAAAUGCACAUACUGUGAGCUCGAUGAGUAGGGCGGGACACGUGGUAUCCUGUCUGAAUAUGGGGGGACCAUCCUCCAAGGCUAAAUACUCCUGACUGACCGAUAGUGAACCAGUACCGUGAGGGAAAGGCGAAAAGAACCCCGGCGAGGGGAGUGAAAAAGAACCUGAAACCGUGUACGUACAAGCAGUGGGAGCCUCUUAAUGGGGUGACUGCGUACCUUUUGUAUAAUGGGUCAGCGACUUAUAUUCUGUAGCAAGGUUAACCGAAUAGGGGAGCCGAAGGG
rnacentral:rRNA from 1 species